rnacentral:rRNA from 2 species
UCGGGAAUUUUCGGCAAUGGGGGAAACCCUGACCGAGCAACGCCGCGUGAGGGAAGAAGGUCUUCGGAUCGUAAACCUUUGUCUUCAGGGACGAUAAUGACGGUACCUGAGGAGGAAGCCACGGCUAACUACGUGCCAGCAGCCGCGGUAAUACGUAGGUGGCAAGCGUUGUCCGGAAUUACUGGGCGUAAAGGGCGUGUAGGCGGUUUUUUAAGUCAGGCGUGAAAAUCCAGGGCUUAACCCUGGACCUGCGUUUGAAACUGGAAGACUUGAGGGCGGGAGAGGAAAGCGGAACUCCGUGUGUAGCGGUGAAAUGCGUAGAUAUACGGAAGAACACCAGUGGCGAAGGCGGCUUUCUGGACCGAUCCUGACGCUGAGGCGCGAAAGCUAGGGGAGCGAACGGG